UACGUAGGGGGCUAGCGUUGUCCGGAAUCAUUGGGCGUAAAGAGCGUGUAGGCGGCCCGGUAAGUCCGCUGUAAAAGUCAAAGGCUCAACCUUUGAAUGUCAGUGGAUACUGCCGGGCUAGAGUCCGGAAGAGGCGAGUGGAACUCCUGGUGUAGCGGUGGAAUGCGCAGAUAUCAGGAAGAACACCAACGGCGAAGGCAGCUCGCUGGGACGGUAGUGACGCUGAGACGCGAAAGCGUGGGGAGCGAACAGG
rnacentral:rRNA from 1 species